rnacentral:rRNA from 1 species
GAUGAACGCUAGCGGCAGGCUUAAUACAUGCAAGUUGAGGGGCAGCAUGAUAUACGCGAGUAUAUUGAUGGCGACCGGCGGACGGGUGAGUAAUAGGUAGGAGACCUACCUCAUACAGGGGGAUAGCAUAGAGAAAUCUGUGGUAAUACCCCAUGAGGUUAUAUGAAUAGAGGCAUAUAAUCAAAGCAUAAGCGAUUAUGCGGUAUGAGAGGGGCCUACUGACCAUUAGCUAGUUGGUGAGGUAAGGGCUCACCAAGGCGAAGAUGGUUAGGGGUUUUGAGAGAGAGAUCCCCCACAUUGGAACUGAGAUACGGUCCAGACUCCUACGGGAGGCAGCAGUAGGGAAUAUUGGGCAAUGGGCGGAAGCCUGACCCAGCCAUGCCGCGUGAAGGAAGACGGCCUUAUGGGUUGUAAACUUCUUUACUAUGCGACUAACUAGAUUUACGAGAUAAUUCUAUAGAAUGUAGCAUAGC